GUCGAGAAUCUUUCACAAUGGGGGCAACCCUGAUGGAGCGACGCCGCGUGGAGGAUAAGGUCUUCGGAUUGUAAACUCCUGUCAUGCGUGAACAAGGCUGCGAGGUUAAUACCUUUGCAGAUUGAUGGUAGCGCAAGAGGAAGAGACGGCUAACUCUGUGCCAGCAGCCGCGGUAAUACAGAGGUCUCAAGCGCUGUUCGGAAUCACUGGGCGUACAGGGUGCGUAGGUGGCGUGGUAAGUCAGAUGUGAAAGCCUGGGGCUCAACCUCAGAAUUGCGUCGGAUACUGCUGUGCUAGAGUACUGGAGGGGUGACUAGAAUUCUCGGUGUAGCAGUGAAAUGCGUAGAUAUCGAGAGGAAUACCAAAGGCGUAGGCAGGUCACUGGACAGUUACUGACACUGAGGCACGAAGGCCAGGGGAGCGAACGGGAUUAGAUACCCGGGUAGUCC
rnacentral:rRNA from 1 species